CUCCUGGGAAGAUUUAAAUGUGAACCCCUAUCAGGCUGAGGAGAGCAUCAAACCCAGGUUUCCUCUUCCUAGUAAGGAGCUGUGGUCUGAGAUACUCACGCCGAGCUAAUUUUGGGCAUGGGCAAGAGCAGAAAUGUAGGUGCCUGGGGAAUUUUGAAAUCAAGCCAGACAGCACCUAGUAAGCUUCCAGACAAAGAAAAUAACAUAAAUGGAUAAGCCAAAGAGCCUUCCCAAUCCUCAAAAGAGAGAAGACCUGGGGAAAGAUCUCAUCCUGCAACCCAACCUCUUGCAAACCAAGGGAAAUGGAAAAAAAAUAAAACCAAGGGACACCUCACUAAUAAUUCCUUGAUGAUAUGGACCAUUAGCUUCAGGAGACCAAGCUGUGACAAUAUUAUAGGAGAGAAACGAGGAAACAAAAUUUCAGGAUUUGGAUGAACUGAACAAACAAGGGCCAUAGGCAAAAUUAAUUCAUUCUAUAAAAUGAAUGCACAUUGCAGAUUUUUUUUCCUCCUUCAUUUUUCUGGGUCCGUUAGAUAUAGAAUGAGUCAGAUUCACACAAUUUGUUUUUGGAAGCAAGGGAAAAAAUGGCUUAAACUAGAGAUGAUGGGGAUUAGUACAGACUGAGGAAAAGCUGAAGGACAUCCUCAUCAGAUGGACUGAU